CGUGUAGGCGGAUGGGGGCGUCGGUUGCUGAAAGCCCCCGGCUCAACCGGGGAACGGGCACCGAAACGCCCCGUCUGGAGGGACGUAGGGGGACCUGGAACUUCCGGUGGAGCGGUGAAAUGCGUUGAGAUCGGAAGGAACGCCCGUGGCGAAAGCGAGGUCCUGGACGUUUUCUGACGCUGAGACGCGAAAGCUAGGGUAGCGAACG
rnacentral:rRNA from 1 species